AGAGCGAACGCUGGCGGCAGGCUUAACACAUGCAAGUCGAGCGGAUGUAGCAAUACAUCAGCGGCAGACGGGAUAGUAACACGUGGGAACGCGCCCUUUGGUUCGGAAUAACUCAGGGAAACUUGAGCUAAUACCGGAUAAGCCCUUACGGGGAAAGAUUUAUCGCCAAAGGAACGGCCCGCGUCCGAUUAGCUAGUUGGUGAGGUAAUGGCUCACCAAGGCGACGAUCGGUAGCUGGUCUGAGAGGAUGACCAGCAUCACUGGGACUGAGACACGGCCCAGACUCCUACGGGAGGCAGCAGUGGGGAAUAUUGGACAAUGGGCGCAAGCCUGAUCCAGCCAUGCCGCGUGGAUGAUGAAGGCCCUAGGGUUGUAAAGUCCUUUUAACGGGGAAGAUAAUGACGGUACCGUAGAAUAAGCCCGGCUAACUUCGUGCCAGCAGCCGC
rnacentral:rRNA from 1 species